CCUACGGGAGGCAGCAGUAGGGAAUCUUCCGCAAUGGACGAAAGUCUGACGGAGCAACGCCGCGUGAGUGAUGAAGGUUUUCGGAUCGUAAAACUCUGUUGUCAGGGAAGAACAAGUGCCGGAGUAACUGCCGGCGCCUUGACGGUACCUGACCAGAAAGCCACGGCUAACUACGUGCCAGCAGCCGCGGUAAUACGUAGGUGGCAAGCGUUGUCCGGAAUUAUUGGGCGUAAAGCGCGCGCAGGCGGUUUCUUAAGUCUGAUGUGAAAGCCCCCGGCUCAACCGGGGAGGGUCAUUGGAAACUGGGAAACUUGAGUGCAGAAGAGGAGAGUGGAAUUCCACGUGUAGCGGUGAAAUGCGUAGAGAUGUGGAGGAACACCAGUGGCGAAGGCGACUCUCUGGUCUGUAACUGACGCUGAGGCGCGAAAGCGUGGGGAGCGAACAGGAUUAGAUACCCUGGUAGUCCACGCCGUAAACGAUGAGUGCUAAGUGUUAGAGGGUUUCCGCCCUUUAGUGCUGCAGCUAACGCAUUAAGCACUCCGCCUGGGGAGUACGGUCGCAAGACUGAAACUCAAAGGAAUUGACGGGGGCCCGCACAAGCGGUGGAGCAUGUGGUUUAAUUCGAAGCAACGCGAAGAACCUUAC
rnacentral:rRNA from 1 species